CGUUGUUUGGCCCUAUAAAAAUGCGUCACUCCGUGUGCGUCUUCCAUCUCGGAUGCGCCAUCAUCCCUGCUCCUUCACUCCUGACACCCCUUCCGUCGAACACAAUGUGAGCUCUGCCCUGUUGGUGUCUGAUGAAGCGCCGCCGACGGCACCGUGGAGUGCCUAGGGUUCUAUCAUAGGCCGCUCGCAGGUCAUGGGCCCGCGCGACUCCGCAGCAUCGUGAUCCUCCAGCGCGGGCGUGCCGCCGCCAUCAAGACGAACCGGCGCCGCCUUCGGUCGCUGUCACCGCAGGUAGCGGCAGCAUGUACGCAUCAGGAGCGGGCGCCUCUUCUUUCGUGCUCUCGCUAGAUCCUCCCAGCAGCAAGUCACCCUCUCCACCACGCCCUUUUCCUGCGGACUACGGGAGUCAAAUGCUAGCUGGCCCUUGAUCUGAAUGAACAGACCUGCAACCGGUGCUUGAUACGGAAGCAUGAAUAGUGCAAGAGCUAGCAAAGUCACCGAUCGCCAUACAGAAUGCCAACGUGGGAAGGUGGAAGCACAAAUAGAAGCAGUGUGAAGCUGCUAUUUUUUCCUCGCCGGCUACAGAUCAAGCGUCUUGGUCAGCGAUGUGUUACAUACGUUAUUUCUCCAGCACAAGUUCUCCCAAUCAGCACAGGUUUGGCGACGCCCCCCUUUCGUUGUCCUCUCGACGGCGGGAUUACUUCCGUCUCUGGUGCAGCGACGACGUUCGGUGAUUGUUUCUCGCCUUCAGAAGAUAAGCUCUCAAAGCACAAGACUCUCUUCAGCUUACUGAAAACUACUUACUGAAAACUUUCUUACGCACAAAACUUCUUGCGGAUAUGUAAACAUGAACUGACAGGACAACUUCAUAAUCUUGCACGUUUUUAACUUAGGACCUACUAUU